rnacentral:rRNA from 1 species
CCUACGGGUGGCAGCAGUGAGGAAUAUUGGUCAAUGGGCGCGAGCCUGAACCAGCCAAGUAGCGUGCAGGAUGACUGCCCUACGGGUUGUAAACUUCUUUUAUAAAGGAAUAAAGUGAGGCACGUGUGCCUUCUUGUAUGUAUUUUAUGAAUAAUGAUCGGCUAACUACGUGCCAGCAUGCGCGGUGAUACGGAGGAUCCGAGCGUUAUCCGGAUUUAUUGGGUUUAAAGGGAGCGCAGAUGGGUGGUUAAGUCAGUUGUGAAAGUUUGCGGCUCAACCGUAAAAUUGCAAUUGAAACUUGCAGCCUUGAGUACAGUUGAGGUAGGCGGAAUUCGUGGUGUAGCGGUGAAAUGCUUAGAUAUCACGAAGAACUCCGAUUGCGAAGGCAGCCUACUAAACUGCCACUGACAUUGAUGCUCGAAAGUGUGGGUAUCAAACAGGAUUAGAUACCCGAGUAGUC